ensembl:lncRNA
CAGAUCCACAGGCCCCGCCCAGGGAAGGGGGAUGACAGGAAUCUCCAACUCCGGAGCCUCGGGGACCAGGUCUCAGGAGAGGGCACAAGAAGUCAGCUCACAGUGAACACCACUGGCUUACCAAGCAGGACCAGCACCCAGCAGGAAGAGUGCAUGAGGGUAAUGGAAAGCGUCAUGAUAAGAGGCACCCAGGGAAGUGGAGGGGAUGGUGACAAAGAGGCCCCAGCUGACCCACAGAUGCAUGACAGGUCCUGCCAGCUGUCCCAAGUCCUCCGUCUGAGCCUGUUUUCACAUCUAUCCAAUCUCUACCUCUCCUGAUUCUUAUCAAAAUUAAAUGAAACAAAGAUGUCGAGUUCUGCCUACAUACUUGCUGAGUGGCUUAAUGACCUUUACAGAGAAGAAAACUGAGGCCAGAGGUCCCACAGCAAGUCAGUGGCUGCUGAUGCCCAGUUAAGGUCCUCUGUCCAGAACCACCACUCGGGGAACUUAUAAGUGGUUCCAGUAAUACAGGUGGGAAGAUGAGUGUGGGGAAUUCAAGGCAGGCCUCCUGGAGGGGGCUCACAAGAGGCGGCUCACAAGAGGCCAGAACUGGCUGAGCCAGGGGGAUCUGGGUGUGCUGGAGGCAAAGGCUAGGGAAGCAGGAGGGACCGACUCACCCUGAGCGGCCAUGUCCACCAGUUGAGGCAGCCGCAGGUACUUGCCCGUUUCCCCCUUGAGAAAGUCCAGCAAACUCCCUGGGCAAAAGACAGAGUCAGCUCCAGCCCUGCACCGUCCUUCUUUCGCUUCGAAAGAUGUAACUCCUGGCUCCUGUGGCCCACCCGGGCGCUGGCCCCGCCUUCACCAGCACAGGAGAAUCCCAUGCAAACCCAUCCCCAGCCUCAUUCAGCAGUUAUCUCUCUCAAGCAAACAGGGCAGGAAGCACCCCACCCCCACUGGCCCCCAAGGAUGAGAUGGCCCGGGUGUGUGAACACACUGGGACCCAACUUGGGAACAAGAGACCAGACCAAUGGGGCAUGGUAGUGCAUGCCUGUAAUCACAGCACUCUGGGAGGUGCAAAAGUUCCAGCCCAGCCUGGACAACUUCGUGAUGACAUUGCAGAGUAAACACAAGUCCACCAGGACAGAAAGCAGAUCAGAGCUUGUCUGGGUUUGGAGUGCAGGGUACUGUCUGCCAAGGGCAACAGGGAACUUUGUGGAUGAGGGAGACAGUGUGUGUCCUGAUUGUAAGGGAUACCUGGAGAAUCCCUUGGUCACGAUUCAUUCAACCAAAUACUAAAUAUCAUGUUUUUAAAAAUGGAAUUUUGAAUAAUUAAUUUUUAAAAUUAAGUCAAUAGCUGGGCGUGGUGACACACACCUGUAAACCCAGUACUCAGGAGGCUGAGGCAGGAGGAUUGCCUCGAGUUCGAGGCCAGUCUAGGAUACAUAGUAAGUUUAAGGCUAACCUGAACUACACAGUGAGACCCUGUCUUAAAAAAUAAAAAUAAAGGGGCCAGGGAUUUAGCUCAGUGGUGCUGCUGGCUGCCUCAAAGCCCAAAGUCCUGAGUUCAAUCCCCAGCACCAAAAACAAAAAAUAAAAAAGAUAAAAAUAAAAAUCAAGGGCGGGGAUUUAGCUCAGUGGUUCCACCACCUGCCUUGAAAGCGCAAGGUCCCAAGUUCAAUCCCCAGUACCAAAAAAAAAAAAAACCAACCAAAAAAUAAAAAUUAAGUCAAAGUCAGGCACCUGGCUCAAGUUCUCCUUUAGCCUGAGAAGAGCAAACAGCUUUAGAAAGCCAGCAAAUAAUGGAUGGUGAGAAACCACUGAGAACAAAGUGAGAAGGGAAAGACAAUUCUGCCUAAAUUCCCUCCAACUCGUGGGUUUGAUCCUGUGCGGUGCCACCUAUAAAAAGCCACCGGGGUAUGGGCGAAGUGGCACACACCUGUAAUCCCUGCACUCUGGGAGGCUGAGGCUGGGAGGGCACAAGUUCAAGCUCAGCCUGGGCAACUGGGUGCCUCAGGAAGACUCUGUUUCAAAAUAAAAAAGGUCUGGGGAUAUAGCUCAGUGUGAAGGCCCUGGGUUCAAUCUCCAAUACCAAAAAAGAAAAACAAAAGCACUUUGGGGAGGUGGGGAGGGCCCUGGCAGGCACCCCGGGCGCAUCAGGUCCACUAGGCUGGCCAGCCAGGCCUCACCCUUGCUCAUGUACUCUGUGACGAUGUAGAUGGGCUCCUCGGACACCACAGCGUACAGCUGCACCAGCUUCUCGUGCCUCAGUUUCUUCAUGACCUGGGCCUCCUGCAGGAAGGCCUCCGGAGACAUGGUGCCCGGCUUCAGGGUCUUGAUGGCCACCCUGGUGGUGCCGUUCCAGGUUCCUGCAGGGUAGAGACGAAGGCGGCCUCAGUGGAGACCCCGCUCUCACCAUCCAGGCAUGGGACUUGCCUGCCUAGGGGGACCAGGCUCAGCUCUGGCCUCCCUCACCAAGUGACAAGAGCAGCCAAGGGGGUCUCCUUCUGAACCUCUGUAUCCCCAUCUAUAAAACGGGUACAAGGACGAGGCGGUGCCUCACAGGGUUGUUACAGGCUGAAAUGAGGGCACUGCUCAGCAAACAGGAGCUGGGUCAGGACUCGGAUUAUGAGGAAUGUCCCUCAAAUGCCACACAGCAGUGGGACAGACAGAGACCACAGUUCCAACUCAAUGGCAUCUCCUGGUGCCCCUUCCUGCCAACUACAGCAUGGAAGGCACCCCAUUAUCAGCAAACAGAUAUGUCCUAGUGGGGGUCAGUGGGGGGGCAGAGUUGGGUCAGGGGCUGUUGCAGCCACCAGAACAAGAGGUGGCCUCCAGAGCCUACAGACCCUGAAAAGCAAGCUGCUGCACGAGGAAGAGCAAGGUAGGAGGCAGCUCAGCUGCAGCCCAGCUCCCCAGGAGGCGGCCAGGGUGAGGUGGGACCCCUUCCUCAGCCUCUCUCCCCAUCUGGAAGAGGGGAUCCUCUGUGGCUACCUGUGGGGCUCUCUGAGGACUCAAGGAGAUUUCAGCCACUGGGCCAGGCCCCCCGAGGCUCAGUGAGUGAGUGCAGCUUCACCCCUUGCGUGAGGACCUGGGAUUUCAUCAUACAGUAGUAGGUGACUACACCUGAGGGCCACCACUGGGGAGCUGCACAUUUAAAAGUGGGCCCCCUCUUUCAGUAGAGGCAACUAAAAGAAAAGGGAACCCGGGAGCCUUGAGCUGCCACCCAGGAGGGACCCUGCCUAUUCUCAGGUGACCACAUCAAACCCCUCCCCAGGCCAUGCCUCCGGGGGGCAGUGCUCCCUACCCAUCCACACCUCCCCAAAGCAGCCCUGGCCCAGCUUGACCUCCAGCCGCAGGGAUUCCCGGGGAUCUCCCAGGCAUCCUUGGCCAGGCCCUGGGUCUGUGGCUUGGACGUGGGGCACACGGUGGUGAGGCGGUGGCACAGGCCAUCAGCGUGUUCUGGAGAUGAGGCAGGGAGCAGAGCUCAGUGGGGCACAUGGGUGAGCUCACAGGAGGGCGCCCAUACCAACAUCUGCACCCACCCUGCCUGGGCCCUGCAGCCUUGUGAGAGGCUCACAGAGUCUGCCUUUCCUCCUUCACUCAUGGGGCUUGAAGAGUGCCAGGAACCCGGAGGGGGCAAGCACGUGGAACUGCCCUCAGGGAGCUCCCAGCCCAGGAGGAGCAGACUUCUGUCAGCCACCCCUCAGAGCCACAAACAUGGCCAGGGAGAGCUGUGCGUGCAUGAGUGUAUGGGGUGGGCUGCACACAGGGGCUGCGGGUUCUCGGUCUCUAUCCUAAAACAGCCCCUGGAGGGUGGGUCCGGGGGACAGGACCAAGCAUUCGCCCCAGAGUGGUGGGGAUCCUAGAGGAGGGUGAGUGGCCCCGUUGAGAGGAGGAGGUGCCAGGUAAGAGGUGGGCCACACAGGCACACACAGGCCCUGGGUAUCCAGGUAGGUGGCCCCACUGCAGCACCCAGCACCUGCCCCACCCCACCAGCACCCUGGCUCAAGUGCUCCCUCUGCCACCCUCUCCUCCAACUUGGCUAUAAUCAAUGUAGCUGCCCCUUCUGCUCUCCUAGUAACCGGUUCAGACCGGUCCUGAGGCUGCAGAGACAAUCAACUCCAGCCCCUGUCCCCUCCCUUUCAGCUUGCUCAAGGCAGCCCCCUCCUCACCAGCCAGCUACAGUGGAGGAGGAGGGAUGGGCAGGGGCUCAGGGAAGACAAGGAGGAAAGAUGAGGCAGGGGGAGAGGAGUGGAAGGCAGUGGUGCCACAGGGGCGGGAAGGAG